UAGCCAGUGAAUUAAUUUCUUUUAAACUUGAAGUUCUAUUUACUUUUACAUGUAGCAUCAUAUGUUUUUAUGGAUGUGACACAUAUACAUUUAUUAAACCAAUCUAGACCAAAAACAUAACCUGCAAAUCAAUAUUUUAUGAAUAAGGCAACAAAUGUCUAGAUUAUUUGUUUCAAUAUUUGAAACAUUUUGUAUUUUGACUAAUAUCCUACACAUUAUUUGCAUACACCUGGAAAAAUAUUUUUUUGAUAAAUAGUCACAUAUGCAUACAUUUAAGUAUAACAUUUUGAGGAAAGCAUGCAGCAUUUGUUAUAAAAUUGCCUUCAAGUUCAACACUACAGCAACAAAAAAUGAGUGGGGUUGGUGGGAUUGAAUGAUUGAGGUAGAUAAGAUGGUUUAAGAAGAAUAUAUGGUAUACUCCUUUGAUCUAUUGACAACCUUUUCAUCUACCUAUAUUACAUGUAUAUUAUUUACAUUUAUUAUUCUCACAGUUUUAUCUUUUGCUCAACUUUAAUUAGCUUUCUUUUUUCGAUCAACAUUUAUCUCAGAUAAAAAUUUGUUAUUUGCCUCUUAAGGUCAAGUUCAAAAGCUGGUGAAGUUCAAGGUCAUUCAAUAAGUUAGAGGUCAUAUUGGUUGUAAUGCUUUGACAGGUCAGUUCUCCUUUUGGUCCAGCUCAGAUGUAAAUUAUUUUUCGAAGACAUACUGAAGUUGAAUUUCUCAUUUCAAGGUCAAAUUAAGACUUUGAUUGUUUACAUUGCCUACAGAUAAUUUGCUACUUCAUUAUUUAUUCUCAAACCUAAGGUUGGUAAAAAAAAGUGUACAUAGUUGUUAUAAAUGAUUUUUUACUCAUCAAACUAACAUUUUUAUUUAUUUUUUUACACUGAUAUAUAUAAUUUACAAAAGCACCCUUAAUUGUUCAAACAUAUUUAAUCUAGCUGAUAAAAACUAUUGUUUACAUUAAACAUUCCCAAUAAGCAAGGACGUAGGUUUUUAGAAAGUUAUAUUUCUAAAACAUUUAUUUGUUAAAGAUAAUAAAAGAAAUCUAAGUGU
rnacentral:misc_RNA from 1 species